AUUGAACGCUGGCGGCAGGCCUAACACAUGCAAGUCGAGCGGAUGACGGGAGCUUGCUCCUUGAUUCAGCGGCGGACGGGUGAGUAAUGCCUAGGAAUCUGCCUGGUAGUGGGGGACAACGUUUCGAAAGGAACGCUAAUACCGCAUACGUCCUACGGGAGAAAGCAGGGGACCUUCGGGCCUUGCGCUAUCAAAUGAGCCUAGGUCGGAUUAGCUAGUUGGUGAGGUAAAGGCUCGCCAAGGCGACGAUCCGUAACUGGUCUGAGAGGAUGAUCAGUCACACUGGAACGGAGACACGGUCCAGACUCCUACGGGAGGCAGCAGUGGGGAAUAUUGGACAAUGGGCGAAAGCCUGAUCCAGCCAUGCCGCGUGUGUGAAGAAGGUCUUCGGAUUGUAAAGCACUUUAAGUUGGGAGGAAGGGCAGUAAGUUAAUACCUUGCUGUUUUGACGUUACCAACAGAAUAAGCACCGGCUAACUUCGUGCCAGCAGCCGCCGUAACAC
rnacentral:rRNA from 1 species